rnacentral:rRNA from 1 species
GACGAACGCUGGCGGCGUGCUUAACACAUGCAAGUCGAACGGAAAGGCCCUGCUUGCAGGGUACUCGAGUGGCGAACGGGUGAGUAACACGUGGGUGAUCUGCCCUGCACUUCGGGAUAAGCCUGGGAAACUGGGUCUAAUACCGGAUAGGAGCCAUUUUUAGUGUGAUGGUUGGAAAGUUUUUUCGGUGUAGGAUGAGCUCGCGGCCUAUCAGCUUGUUGGUGGGGUAAUGGCCUACCAAGGCGGCGACGGGUAGCCGGCCUGAGAGGGUGGACGGCCACAUUGGGACUGGGGUACGGCCCAGACUCCUACGGGAGGCAGCAGUGGGGAAUAUUGCACAAUGGGCGCAAGCCUGAUGCAGCGACGCCGCGUGGGGGAUGACGGCCUUCGGGUUGUAAACUCCUUUCGCUAGGGACGAAGCUUUUUGUGACGGUACCUAGAUAAGAAGCACCGGCUAACUACGUG